UACCUACUCCCUCUGUCCGGAAUUACUUGUCACAAAAAUGGAUAGAAAUGGAUGUAUCUCGAACUAAAAUACAUCUAGAUACAUCCAUUCCUAUGACAAGUAUUUCUGGACGGAGGGAUUAUUUA
rnacentral:pre_miRNA from 1 species